rfam:Pseudoalteromonas ulvae strain TC14 Contig_16, whole genome shotgun sequence.
ACGACCGUAGCUCAGUUGGUUAGAGCACUACCUUGACAUGGUAGGGGUCGGUGGUUCGAAUCCACUCGGUCGUA